AGCUUAUCUGUACAAAUUUGAUUUAUAAUUACUCGUUAUAUUUUUCAGAAAAAUUUAGGUAUGGGAAAAAUUGUAUUUAAUGUAUAAAAUUAACGUUAGAAGGACGUUAUGAAUGCAAAUAAUUACAGACUGAUGUUUAGUAGUAAAUUUGAAAAAGAACGGUCAACAGUAACAAUUUUCCGAUUUCGUUUAAGGACACUAAUGUCUCCAAUCGAUCCAGUUCUUUACAUUCAACCUCUGUCACGAAGCGCGUGCACUAGGAUGCACCACUGAUUGCGUGACACCAUUUUCUUGUGGGAGUUCGAGUAAUUGCAUUUCGAGUUUUCGCAAAAUUUCUUAUCCCGCAGAGGCAGAUGCGACACUUGGCGACGUAAUUCGUUGCCAAUUUCGUAUAUGGCAUGCGACAUGGAAUCAGAGACGUCCAAUAGAGAGAAUUUUUUUCGCUGAUAUAUCGGCGUCGAUUUUCUAUUGAAUAUCGUGCAAAAAUCUUCCUUUCGCAUCGUUCUCUAUAUUUCAGAAACCGCAGCGAUAAAUUUGGCAAAAGCCGUAUGGAAUUUCUAGUGUGGUCUGCGUCUAGUAUAAAAGAUCGCAGUAGAGAAUCAGGUAGAAUAGAAUGACGUCACUAAGAUUGAAGAGUGUAUCACCCAGAGACUUUUACGUAACACUCGCUAUAUGUCGCCGUGAUAAAUAACACUUGAGGCUUUGGUGGCGAGCCAUGUGGAAAUAAAGCCAUUUAACAGAGAACUGCUGCUGGAUUCAGUCGGAGAGAUACUCUUGAAGAUCCGACCAGAUUUUAUGACAGACUAGGCGUCAGUUUGGCUCUGGGUUUUUGAUGAUCGGGUACCGGCAUUUGUUCAAAUAUCCCUAAGAAUUCAACCUUCUACACCAAUCUUUGCUCCUUUUUUUCGCUUCGUUCCUAUCCGAUCAAAAGAAUAUUUUUUUUUUGUUCAAUCGUAGUUGAUUGACGUUUUUCAGCAGAUUACCUGCUGUUCCCAAAACACCAUUUUGCAUCAAACUACUUAUGAAAUGUUGUGAAGUCUAAAGUCGUCUGCGAGUGAGAACAGAUGAGCUUGUGUUAGAUAGAAAGAAUUGAAAAGAUUUUACCAUUUCCUGUUAGAGUAAACAACACUUUUUCGAUAACACAACGCCGGUCGAAAUGGCAGUGUAGUCGUCUACUAUGUGAAAGGUCUAAAUACUUUAUUGGCACGUAUCCUGCAAUCUCUUUCCUCUCCUCCCGCGAGAACAGUCUUGAACUCAAAAGUCGCUAUAGAAUCGGGAAAUGCCUGUUGAAAUGUGUCGUUAUAGGAGAUGAAAACUCAUUUCUAUUUACUACAUUGCAGAGCGAAGUUAGAUUUUUCUACGCCUAGUAACUUAGAAAGUUUUUUUUAUUCUUUUCCUCUGCUUUUGUGGUUUGGGUUGCAACAGCUGUCGUGUUGUAUUUUCGUCCCCCGAAGGUUUCUCUCUCUCUCUCUCUCUCUCUUUCUCUCUCUUUACUCUUCUCUCCUGUAACAUUGCUAUUACCUUUGCUUGGGGCAUUAACGACGAAUGGAGUUUUCGUGUUAUGAAAUGUCUGCCAUUUUGCAUAAUUUCCACUUGUAUGAACUACGUCCAAUCAUUCACUAUCCCUCAUUUAUUCUUGAAAAUGUUAAAAAAAGGAAUAAAAAGAGAGAGUUUUUCUCCGAAACGGUUCGUUUGCUACCUCUUGCUCUGUUAAUGUUUUCUGUCGCUCCAUUAAUCAUUCCUUCUUAAUUCUUUAAUUGAAAAACGCUCGUAAAUGUAUUUUGCUAUAAUUCCAGUUACAAGUUUCUUUCUCUUUCCAAUGACAAAUAGUAAAAAUCAGACCGAUUAUCUAAGAAAAAAAAUCUUAACUGUGUUUAUGAACAUAUUUUAAGUAGUAGUUGGAGUUAACGAUCCAGAAAUGUAUAAGCCUAAGGUUAAUGAUUCCAAAGAAAAUUAUAAAUCAUUAGAUGUUGUUAUAAAAAUGUUUAAAAUUGUCGAAAUUUGACCAUAUGCAUCGUAAUUAUUCAACAAUAACAUUUAUUAAUAUAAAUGUUGAGAUGAAAAUAAUUUAGGGAAUAAUUAGAUUUAUUAAGAAAAAAAUUGUGUAUUUUUUUUUUUUUUUAUAGUAUUGAUCGAGAAGGACAUGCCAAUUUGUUUU
rnacentral:lncRNA from 1 species